rnacentral:rRNA from 1 species
UCUCUCCGAAAUAGCUUUAGGGCUAGCCUCAAGUGAUGAUUAUUGGAGGUAGAGCACUGUUUGGACGAGGGGCCCCUCUCGGGUUACCGAAUUCAGACAAACUCCGAAUGCCAAUUAAUUUAACUUGGGAGUCAGAACAUGGGUGAUAAGGUCCGUGUUCGAAAGGGAAACAGCCCAGACCACCAGCUAAGGUCCCAAAAUAUAUGUUAAGUGGAAAAGGAUGUGGCGUUGCCCAGACAACUAGGAUGUUGGCUUAGAAGCAGCCAUCAUUUAAAGAGUGCGUAAUAGCUCACUAGUCGAGUGACACUGCGCCGAAAAUGUACCGGGGCUAAACAUAUUACCGAAGCUGUGGAUUGUCCUUUGGACAAUGGUAGGAGAGCGUUCUAAGGGCGUUGAAGCAUGAUCGUAAGGACAUGUGGAGCGCUUAGAAGUGAGAAUGCCGGUGUGAGUAGCGAAAGACGGGUGAGAAUCCCGUCCACCGAUUGACUAAGGUUUCCAGAGGAAGGCUCGUCCGCUCUGGGUUAGUCGGGUCCUAAGCUGAGGCCGACAGGCGUAGGCGAUGGAUAACAGGUUGAUAUUCCUGUACCACCUAUAAUCGUUUUAAUCGAUGGGGGGACGCAGUAGGAUAGGCGAAGCGUGCGAUUGGAUUGCACGUCUAAGCAGUAAGGCUGAGUAUUAGGCAAAUCCGGUACUCGUUAAGGCU